rnacentral:piRNA from 1 species
UCAAGUGGUGUCGUGAAAUUA